AUCAGGCUGUUAGUGCAGGUGAUGUCAGGAGCUAAUUUUCUUGUUGGCAUGAAAUACCAGAGCCUGUUACUGUGCAGAGAGAUCAGCCGGGAGAGGUUUGAGCAACGGAGGCCACGGACAGGAAGGAGAGUCACUGGUGGAAAAGAGAAACUCAGGCCCAGAAAGGAUGAAGGUCAGCCCAAGGUCCUCGCACCACCUCCAUCCCACCUCCAGGACUGACCCAAGCAGCAGAUGGGAGGGAGCGACUGCAGCCCACAGCCAAGUCACUGAAUCACAGCCUUUAGAGGCAGAGGCGUGGUAAGGAUACUUGAGCUGAAUCCCGGCUUUAAAACAAUGAGCCCGAGGGGUCUUUAUUGUCCAUCACGGUGCAGACAAUAAUAUUUUUGUUACCAGAGCAAUUGCCAGUGGGAUGUGGGACAGCAGCCCUCUGCAUACCACAAGGCACAAGAAAAUAUUGCUCAAAAGUUGUGUCAUGUUUUGGAUUGCUGCUCUGAUUUAUUGCUGCUCCCUGUCUCUGGGGAUGCAGUGCUGAGGCAAUGCAGGAGUAAGGAUGCUGCAUUUUUGGAGCACAGUCAUGGCUGGACUGUCAGCCCUGUUUGUAAACACAUUGUAAAUAUGUUUGUAAACAUGGCUUAGUUGUUCUUGCCAGGAAUAAAACCUACUUCUCUUGCAAACAAA